GACGAACGCUGGCGGCGUGCCUAAUACAUGCAAGUCGAGCGAAUCGAUGGGAGCUUGCUCCCUGAGAUUAGCGGCGGACGGGUGAGUAACACGUGGGUAACCUGCCUGUAAGACUGGGAUAACUUCGGGAAACCGGAGCUAAUACCGGAUACUUUCUUUUCUCGCGUGAGGGAAGAUGGAAAGAUGGUUCUGCUAUCACUUACAGAUGGACCCGCGGCGCAUUAGCCAGUUGGUGAGGUAACGGCUCACCAAGGCAACGAUGCGUAGCCGACCUGAGAGGGUGAACGGCCACACUGGGACUGAGACACGGCCCAGACUCCUACGGGAGGCAGCAGUAGGGAAUCUUCCGCAAUGGACGAAAGUCUGACGGAGCAACGCCGCGUGAGCGAAGAAGGCCUUCGGGUCGUAAAGCUCUGUUGUUAGGGAAGAACAAGUACGAGAGUAACUGCUCGUACCUUGACGGUACCUAACCAGAAAGCCACGGCUAACUACGUGCCAGCCGCCGCGGUAACAC
rnacentral:rRNA from 1 species